AGCAGCCGCGGUAAUUCCAGCUCCAGUAGCGUAUAUUAAAGUUGUUGCAGUUAAAAAGCUCGUAGUUGAAUUUCGGGAUCAAUAUGUUGGUCGUGCCUCGGUACGUACUGGCAUUAUUGAUUUCUCCUUUCUGAAGAACCAUGAUGUCAUUUAUUUGGUGUUGUGGGGAAUCAGGACUGUUACUUUGAAAAAAUUAGAGUGUUUAAAGCAGGCUCACGCUUGAAUACAUUAGCAUGGAAUAAUGAAAUAGGACGUUUGAUUCUAUUUUGUUGGUUUCUAGGAUCGACGUAAUGAUUAAUAGGGAUAGUUGGGGGCAUUAGUAUUCAAUUGUCAGAGGUGAAAUUCUUGGAUUUAUUGAAGACUAACUACUGCGAAAGCAUUUGCCAAGGAUGUCUUCAUUAAUCAAGAACGAAAGUUAGGGGAUCGAAGACGAUCAGAUACCGUCGUAGUCUUAACCAUAAACUAUGCCGACUAGGGAUCGGAUGAUGUUAAUUUUUAAUGA
rnacentral:rRNA from 1 species